AGCCGAAACCCUCGGGCUGUCCGAGGGUCCGGGCUGGAUUGGUCUCCACCCGCUGAUGAGGCAGACCCCU
rnacentral:hammerhead_ribozyme from 1 species